UACGAAGGGUGCAAGCGUUACUCGGAAUUACUGGGCGUAAAGCGUGCGUAGGUGGUUCGUUAAGUCUGAUGUGAAAGCCCUGGGCUCAACCUGGGAAUGGCAUUGGAUACUGGCGACCUAGAGUGCGGUAGAGGGGUGUGGAAUUCCCGGUGUAGCAGUGAAAUGCGUAGAUAUCGGGAGGAACAUCUGUGGCGAAGGCGAGUCUCUGGACAGUUACUGACGCUGAGACGCGAAAGCGUGGGGAGCGAACAGG
rnacentral:rRNA from 1 species